AGUUAUGUGGGAAACUUUAAAAGUAAGUGAUGAUUAGAUGUAAAGAUAAUUUAAGUUAAUUUUUCCACUAUUUUUCCACAAUAAUCUCUAGGUACCGGAAUCUACGUUUCUGCAUUAUUUUUUGUAAUAUUACAAAUGAUGUAUCUCGUACAAUCAGCUUAAGAAUUUUAUUGGCUUAUGGUGAAACACUACGGUGAACAGGGGUUACUCUCUGCACAGUAAGGGAGCCCCACUAGAGCUAUCAGUCAGCCUCUUGCAGCACAUUAACUGGACUUAUGUGAUCACUGAUGUGCUGCUCCUACAUACGUACCUGUACAUACAUACGGUACACGUAUUCCAUACAAUUGAUGUUUUCAUUGAGGUCAGUCACUGGUUCCAAUUUUACAGCUCGUAAUUAUUAGCUGCAUAUUAAAACUUAACGGUUCCGAAUUAACAUUCACAGAAAUCAAUUAUGUGUAUUAGAAAAACCAAAUAAGGAGAUUUUUACACAAUUAAUAUAAAAUCUCAUUAGUGAAAUGUACAAUCCUCAAAUAAUUUAACUCAUGUAUUAUAUUCCCUCAUCCUAAAAUGACUUAUCCAUUUAGUUUUGUAGCCUGCUGAAGAAUUUGAAUAUUUUUUCCUCGCCUUGUAUGUUAGGAAAAUUAAUAAUUUUAUGUAUUCACAAAGAAUUUGUAAUUACCUGAAGGGUUUUUAGGUACACCCUAUCAAAUGUGAAUACAGACCAUUGCUUAUAUAUUAUUGUGUCUGUGAUUACCUAUUAGAGAAAGGCACUGAAUGCUCAUCAUGGAUUAGCAAUGGCAGUGUUGCAGCUGCAAUUUUCCCUAAUAUUUCUGCUAUUUCGGCCUUCCCUCAUAACCACAGCUUGUAAUAUUGAGCUGCUACCGACUGUGUGGUGUUAUUUGUUCUAGAUACAGAGAAUUAUUUGCAUUACUUUAUAAGAAUAUUGUAGACAGCAAACUAGUUCACAAGCCAAAGGAAUUGCACAGUUUGUUCUGCCCCAAACAAUAGUGUUCUAGAUACAGAGAAUUAUUUGCAUUACUUUAUAAGAAUAUUGUAGACAGCAAACUAGUUCACAAGCCAAAGGAAUUGCACAGUUUGUUCUGCCCCAAACAAUACAGCAAUCUAGAGUUGACAGCUACAAGUGGCGGCGGAACAUAUUACCUGAAGCGAGAGUGUGGUGUCACUACAUAGCUGCAAUGUCCGUUCUGCAGCAUCCACAGUAAACAACGCAGCAAUCUUAAGUUGACAGCUGUGUGUUUUAGGCAAACCGCAGCAGUGUGGGAAACGCUACAAGUGGCGGCGGAACAUAUUACCUGAAGCGAGAGUGUGGUGUCACUACAUAGCUGCAAUGUCCGUUCUGCAGCAUCCACAGUAAACAACGCAGCAAUCUUAAGUUGACAGCUGUGUGUUUUAGGCAAACCGCAGCAGUGUGGGAAACGCUACAAGUGGCGGCGGAACAUAUUACCUGAAGCGAGAGUGUGGUGUCACUACAUAGAUGCAAUGUCCGUUCUGCAGCAUCCACAGUAAACAACGCAGCAAUCUUAAGUUGACAGCUGUGUGUUGUAGGCAAACCGCAGCAGUGUGCCUGUCCGCAGUGUGGGAAACGCUACAAGUGGCGGCGGAACAUAUUACCUGAAGCGAGAGUGUGGUGUCGCUACAUAGCUGCAAUGUCCGUUCUGCAGCUUCCACAGUAAACAACACAGCAAUCUUAAGUUGACAGCUGUGUAUUGUAGGCAAAUCGCAGCAGUGUGCCUGUCCGCAGUGUGGGAAACACUACAUGUGGCGGCGGAACAUGUUAGCACACCUGAAGCGAAUGUGUGGCGUCACUGCACAGCUGCAAUGUCCGUUCUGCAGCUUCCACAGUAAACAACGCAGCAAUCUUAAGUUGACAGCUGUGUAUUGUAGGCAAAUCGCAGCAGUGUGCCUGUCCGCAGUGUGGGAAACACUACAUGUGGCGGCGGAACAUGUUAGCACACCUGAAGCGAGUGAGUGGCGUCACUGCACAGCUGCAAUGUCCGUUCUGCAGCUACCGCAGUAAACAACGCAGCAAUCUUAAGUUGACAGCUGUGUGUUGUAGGCAAACCGCAGCAGUGUGCCUGUCCGCAAUGUGGGAAACACUACAAGUGGCGGCGGAACAUGUUAGCACACCUGAAGCGAGAGUGUGGCGUCACUGCACAGCUGCAAUGUCCGUUCUGCAGCUACCGCAGUAAACAACGCAGCAAUCUUAAGUUGACAGCUGUGUAUUGUAGGCAAAUCGCAGCAGUGUGCCUGUCCGCAGUGUGGGAAACACUACAUGUGGCGGCGGAACAUGUUAGCACACCUGAAGCGAGUGAGUGGCGUCACUGCACAGCUGCAAUGUCCGUUCUGCAGCUACCGCAGUAAACAACGCAGCAAUCUUAAGUUGACAGCUGUGUGUUGUAGGCAAACCGCAGCAGUGUGCCUGUCCGCAAUGUGGGAAACACUACAAGUGGCGGCGGAACAUGUUAGCACACCUGAAGCGAGAGUGUGGCGUCACUGCACAGCUGCAAUGUCCGUUCUGCAGCUACCGCAGUAAACAACGCAGCAAUCUUAAGACUCACCUGGGCAGCCAGCACAGCUUUAUUCUCGGCAGUCAAGAUAUUGACAAGAUUGUUAUUUAAUUUCAUGUUUAAAAUAUUAACUCCUGGUUAAUUUAAAUUUCUGAAAUAAAAUUUUUCUAAAUAAGUGAUAAUACAGUCUUGGAACUUACUGGUUGAUAAAUGUUUGAAAUAUCUGUGAUCUUUCUUCUCGAACUUAUUUAGAUUUUAUAAAACUAUGUGUGGAAGCUGCCAAAUGAGUAAUUUAAAUGUUUUACACCUGAAGACAGUUGAUGCAAUAAUUAAAGGCAGAUGGGUUUGUGAGACUUGUGGGCGAGCCUACUUACACCAGCCUUCCCUCUGUCGGCACCGCAAGUUCCAGUGUGGCAUAGCACCCCAGUUCCGCUGUUUCUUCUGUCCACAUGUCACCAAGUUGAAGACCCAUCUGGUAAAACACAUCAAAGUGAAACAUGCCACCUGAUCCAGCCGCACAUUGUUCCUUUAAUAAAUCAUUGUGAUGUUGGUUUGCAAGUAUGGUAUUAUUUGACAGCAGCCUUUCUUACUGACAUCAGAUUCCUUCUCACUCACUGAAAUAUUUAUAAACCAUGAGCUUCAAAAAUGAGUGGAAUAUCACCAUUGCCUGAAGCCAUUAUUUGAAAAAAAAACUCUUUAAUUGUUUAAACAUUUAAAUUAUCUUUGCAACAUCAGAACAUUUUGCUUUUCAGGCAAUUAUCUAUUAAUACAUUUACAUUUAAAACAAUUUUAUCAGAAGUUUUUUGUAACCAAGUACAAUGAAGUUAUCAAGAUACCACAUAUUGUAUUUGCUGUUUGUGCAUUGUACCAUUUUCCCCCUGUAAGCUCAGUUGUUAGAUUAUUAAAGCACUGGCAAUAGUGCUAAACUGCGUAGUGAUCAAUUUCUUUCUAAAAAAUACAGUAUACGUGUAACACACUAAAAUUUGAAUUGUUGUAUAUUUUGAAGUAAAUUGUUGUUAAAUAUAUUUUUCAUAGUUGUAUUAUGAUUCAGAGACUCAAAUUGCAUACAUUACCUGUAAAAUGACCAUCUAUCUGUAAUAUUGUAAAAUGACCAUCUAUCUGUAAUAUUGUAAAAUGACCAUCCAUCUGUAAUAUUGUAAUUAUGGUGCCUUUUUCAGUUCCUGUUGUCAGUUACAAAAAUAAAUUCGGAUUUAUUAAU
rnacentral:lncRNA from 1 species